UGGCUCAGUGGUAGAGCACUUGUCUUGUAUGCAUGAAGCCCUGGGUUCAAUUCCUUG
rnacentral:tRNA from 1 species